AGUGAACGCUGGCGGUAGGCCUAACACAUGCAAGUCGAACGAGUGGCGGACGGGUGAGGAAUACAUCGGAAUCUACCCUGUCGUGGGGGAUAACGAAGGGAAACUUACGCUAAUACCGCAUACGAUUGAAUGUGCCGAUGUUGGAUUAGCUAGUUGGCGGGGUAACGGCCCACCAAGGCGACGAUCCGUAGCUGGUCUGAGAGGAUGAUCAGCCACACUGGAACUGAGACACGGUCCAGACUCCUACGGGAGGCAGCAGUGGGGAAUAUUGGACAAUGGGCGCAAGCCUGAUCCAGCCAUGCCGCGUGGGUGAAGAAGGUCUUCGGAUUGUAAAGCACUUUAAGUUGGGAGGCGUUACCAACAGAAGAAGCACCGGCUAACUUCGUGCCAGCAGCCGCGGUAAUAC
rnacentral:rRNA from 1 species